UACGGAGGGAGCUAGCGUUGUUCGGAAUUACUGGGCGUAAAGCGCACGUAGGCGGCUUUGUAAGUUAGAGGUGAAAGCCCGGGGCUCAACUCCGGAACUGCCUUUAAGACUGCAUCGCUUGAAUCCAGGAGUGGUGAGUGGAAUUCCGAGUGUAGAGGUGAAAUUCGUAGAUAUUCGGAAGAACACCAGUGGCGAAGGCGGCUCACUGGACUGGUAUUGACGCUGAGGUGCGAAAGCGUGGGGAGCAAACAGG
rnacentral:rRNA from 1 species